UUUGCAGUUGCUCACGUAAAAGUUACUUGGUGAAAUAGCAAAAUGGUCACGAGGAAGCACCUCCUGGUUCUGUGCCUUCUGUUUUCCAUUGCAACAACCAAACAGUUACCCGCCGCUUUUCAAACAAUGUGGGGCGAACUUGCGAGUGGUUUCGAGGAGGGGUGCGCAUCGGAGGGCAACAUCGACCUGGAAGUCGCAAGGGGCAUAAUAACAAGAUUUGAGGCGCCAGACGUAGGGCCGAUUCAUUGCUAUGUGAGAUGUGUGGUUGGGAAAAUGAAUUUUUUACGCCCAAUGGAGAAAUGGCUAAGUCGAUUAUGAUGGAUACGUUUCCCAUAUUAACGAACGAAAUUCUUGACAGUUGCGUCGUUAAAGAAGAGGAUGGUUGCAAAAAGGCGUACUUGUUGACGCUUUGUGUGCUGAACGGGAUCGCUGAAGACUAAUAUCCAGGUCGUUUGGCUUUGGUAGUCGUGGUUAAAGCUUUUAGUUUCUUUUCUAACACUGUAAAUAUUCCUGAAUAAAGGUACUAGUGCCUGAA